AGCUCAGUCAGUAGAGCAUGAGACUCUCAAUCUCAGGGUCAUAGGUUUGAGCCUCCGAAGAUUCCUGC